AAGUUGUGGAAUCUUGGCAACGACCCUUUCAAUAAAUUGUUUUUUUUUUUUUUUUUCUGCAAUCUUAAUGCCAAACUUUAUGUUUCAAGAGUUGAGUUAGCUUGUCCUAAUCGUCCUAGUAUGAGACAUGCCGUUUCUGAAAGUAACAUCAUGAUUGUAUUUUAUUUUUUAAACCAACGUACUGUUGUGGGUCGCAUGCAGAGGCUUCUCUAAUCCAUUCUAGUCUAAACAUAACGGGCUUUCUUGUUAUUUUCCUCAACGGGCCUUUUUGUUACAUAUAUAUUCAUAUUUUUCGAAAAGACCAAAAGUUACAGAAUUAGAGUUAUUUCAAAGGUUUCAGACGGUUUGGGCGGAGAAGUC